AGUCUGGCUGCAGCCCGCCUCUCUCAGUACCCUGCGCCGCUCUUCUCAGUACCCAUCCCGCAGACAGGAAAUGACGCAACACCGCAGCUCUCAGUCCCCUCAGACCGGAAAUGUCGUCAACCCUUGCGACGAAAACAAGUUACGUUAUUUCACCUCUCGCGAAAAAAACACGCUGCAAGAUCACCACCCCAUUGGGAAGAAACUAAAUCACGACCCCCAAAUGGUAGUCUUCCCAUGCAGAUACAGGGAUGUCACACAGAUCCAAAUGGAAACAUCGAACACUGUAAAACCCACUGUGCAGACAGGACCAAUGGUGACAAUAUAAGACCAUGCCGAGUUUCAUGGACGGUUCAAACUCAUCCUGCCCAGGAACGGCUGAAAACGUUGACAGUCAAUCAACAGGGGGACAUGGAAAGAGAGGAUUGGAAGUGAAAUAGAGGGUUUUUCGGGACAGCCAUAGGGGAAGGACUGUGGCAUCUUCAUGUUGAUGACUGAUAUGCCAACUCUGAGGAAGUGGUGGUGUAUAUUGCUAGCGGACAAUUUCAAACUUGGGUGCAUGGUAUAAGUCUUUGAAACUGUUGAUAUGGCAUUCAUAGGAAAGUGAGCCACAGGAAAGAGUUUGCCCAUUGGACAGAUAAGGCAAAAGCAUUACUGCAGGGUGAAGUGCCACCAGUCUAUCAGCUACAGAAGUGAAAUUUGAAUAUGAUUGCUGAGGAAGAGGUGCAACCACAGCUCCUUCAAGUUAGUGGUGGCCCACUCCAAAAAGAUAUGACGGGAAAAAAAUGUUUUGGUAAAAGGACUGUGCAAGACUGCACAAAAGCCUCGGACAGGGCUGUGGGGGGGGGGAUUAAUGCAGUAAUGCAGUAGGAGUUCCCAAGCAUCCUGCAGAUGGAAGAGGAUGAGCACGAACUACAAUGUCUUGGAGCCAUUCAAGUUCUGUUUCAACCAUCUGGAAGAUGGAUUUACCUUUUUUGAGGAGAUUGUUGACCAAAGAAAAUAUCUGGUAUUCUCUCAAUAAUAAUAAAAAAAUAAUAAAACUAAAAAAAUAAAGUUUACCACAUUAGAACUGGUUGUAUUGAGUUCAUUUUUCUACACUUAUAAAUUAGUUGUUUUUUUUCUUUUAUCCCAGAUGUUAGUUGUAGGUAGUUUUAAUUACCUGUGAUGAAGGCGGGAGUGCUUGCCGAAAAAUGUCAGGUAAUUAAAACAACCUACAACUAUUGUCUGGGAUAAAAGAAAAAAACAACUAACACAUGACAACUAUUUUGUCAUUUCUGUUUGAAAUAAAGGUGCCUUUCCUGGAGCAGAAAGUUUAAUAUAGUUUCUGAAUUAGUUAAUUAGGAUCUUCACUCACAUGAAUGAAUUUAAGUAGCAAAAUGAAAGACAAAAUUGGUUUGGUUGCAACAUGGAGAGAAUAUUACGUUUUUG